UCCGUGCCUGUUUUAAGAAGAAUUGGUCUCUUUCAGGAAAAUAGUGCAACAAAGAGAGUUAGUAAAAUGGUCUAAGAACAAACUUGCCAAAAUAAAUCUGACAAGAAAUACACUUUUUUUUUUUUUAAUUACAAACUUCCACCACCAUCAUCAUCAUCAUCAUCAUCAUCAUCAUUCGAGUGCAGCAUGUACACUUUCAUUAAGCACAAUUGAGUGUGUAUACCCAGCACAUUUACACCCAGAUCACUAUGAAAAAAAUGCAGCACUACCAUUAGUCGACAACAACUCAAAAAUUGCAUAAUUUCUUAGAAUUGGCCUUUAGAUUUCUUGUUCGAAUUGUUUUUCUACAAGAUAAGUCAACAUGAAACUGAAAUAAAACCCAUUUUCACUUGGUUAAAUCUCGCACUUGUGCAUACAAGAAAUAUUUAAUCUUUGAUCAAAACUAAUAACUCUAAAGUGUGCUUUAUGUGGGGCAUUUCUGCAUAAAAAAAAAAUCUUAAUACUUUCUAAAAGCACUGCAGGUGUUGUCAGUGCAGGAAGCUUGCGUAAAUAAAGUACAUUCGAGAUGGGAAUUCAACCAAAUGUACUACUCUUCAUUGAGAUCAAUCAGAUCUGUAACCUGAAACAGGGACUUUUGUCAUGAUUGCAUUUUAUUUUUGGUUUGGUUUACUGCAAUAUGUUAAGUGCACCAAAUUGUUAUGCAAGUCAUCUAGCAGAACAGUUGUCCUCAGUGAUCAGUAAAAACCAUCAAGAUGGAUUAUCAAGUACAUUACAGUACAUAGCUAUCAUAAAACACAUAUGCAUCAGUAAUGCUUUUACCUGAUUAUAUGUUACUUCAUUUAUAUAUUUAAUUUAUACAGUUACACUGGAAAUCAAGGCUUAGCUAGUCUUCUUGCAGUACACAAGGCCGUUUAUACAACAGUUUAGGUUGAAAAUAAUUUAUUUAGAAUAAGAUGCUGUUGAUUUUUGUGUAAUAUUUCUCAUUAAAGUGAUAAUUAAUAUACAAGUUCCUCUCUUCAGGCUGAGACCACCUUUUUCAGGUGACUUAUAAUUGAUUAUUUACAACACUGUUAUCCCUAAAGUUGUAUUAAUUCAAAAUACUUAGAUUCAAUAAACAUAAAAACCAACUUUUUUGCUUAGUUAUCCAUUUUGUUUAGUUUAUUGUACGAUUUGCAUGAUAUUUUUGAUUCUACUGGAAUGUUUAAAUUGAAUGUACUUAACAAAGCUUAUUUUAGUCUAUUGGUAAAGGAGUGAUGAGCAAGGGGAAAUGUGAUUGGCUCUUUGUCUUUGGACUGACGUCACUGGUGAAUACAGCGUGAGCGCGCAUUUUCUAAUGGCUGCUGAUCACUGUGAGUACGAUUUCAUACUUUUGUCUCAAACAGUCCACAUUGUUUUACUUUAAUAAACAAAAUAUGUAACCGUUAGCAAGAAAACCACAUGUAAGAUUAAGCUGUGUCUGACGUUAGGAUCAUGUUAUUGUUCCGGUCAAUCGCAACCGCCAUUGCCACAUUUAUUAACAGUUCUAAGACGUGAAAAGUGCAAAGACGUGCGUAAUAGGAUCAUGAUAGAUCAUAUAUUAUGUUAAAAAAAAGUUAAUGUAAGUUUUGCCUGUGUUAGCGUAUUCAUUUAUGCCACGUAUAACCGAUCACGGCCGCCGCAUUUCAUCUAUAUAAUUCGUUACAGUUAACGUUACUGUACGUGAAAACAUGCUUUAUGAGGUCGUCACGUGUAAAGUUUAAUAUUGAUGCUGUAUUCGAUGAGUCAUCCGCGUUAUCUUUUGAGUAAACUGAUUAUUUUUUUAGUGGUGGUUAUGUGUCGUCAGAUGUUUAGCAUAACAUAACCUGAGCUGUUUUUAACGUUUUUUUUUCUUUCUUGUAAGUAAAGUAUUAACUGACUAGAAUACAUUGAGAUUUGCCCCUUCGGAAAUACGAAUUCAUGUUAGUUGGCAGUUUUUAAAGAUAUGCAACCUCGUGCUCAUCAGUCUUAGCAAGUGAAUUUUCAGUUAAUUAGAAUGAAAGCUAAAUAAUUAACUGUAGCUCUCUAAUUCUUUUGAUUAACAAUAGCUGUUUGUGGGAAAUUUGGAGAUAACAGAUCAAAUUAUGUAAAUGUGUUUUGUCAGCUAGUAAUCUAAUGUAUAUUUUUGUAACUGUAGAUUGCAGAAAGAUCAAAGCAAGGCCAACCAGGAUGAGAUGAAAAUGUAAGUAUUGCUCAUUUGCUUGUGACAAAAGAUGGUACUUAUUAAAACAUUGCAGAUUUAAACAUGGGAGCUAUGCAAAAAGCCAGCCAUUUCCAUGCAUAUAUCAGGAAUGUAUUUGUAAUGAAAUGAGUACAGUAUUGAUAAACAUGAUAACAUGCUAAUUUGACAGUUGUUUAAUUUUGACAUUUCUCUGAUGUUAAUAAACUUUUUUGUGUUUUAAUACUACAGGUGUAUCAAGAGUUCAACCAGAUAGUGUGUAUAUUAAGCAAGAAUUAUAUUGGUCUCUUGAUCAUCACUGCCCACAGCUGAUUCAGAUCUUCAGGUCAAAGAGAGGAUUCACUGGACAGAUUUUUAUCUUCUACAAAAUAUCAAGGUUUGUGUAUGCCAUUGUUUGUACAUGCCUUUGACAUAAAUUGAUGCCAUUGUGUGCUGAAUUCUGAAAUUUAUAUAAUUACUUUAGAAAUCCUCAGUGACAGAGACUAAAUUUUAAUACAUGAAAAUGCCCUUUCUCUCAUGUUGACAAAUGAUACAAUGUUGUUUCUCUGCAACACCUCAGGCGUCUGACCUCACUGACAUGCCAUGUGUUGCCAUUUGAGUGCUUCCAGUAGUUGUUGGUGAUGACCCAACAGUUCUUCAAAGCAUGUUUUGCUUCAGAUGAUGGAGACUCAAAUCAACAUGUGCCCGUUGGAAUUCUUAACCAAGAAAAUUAAGAUGUGGCUCUGCAACCCCUGUCCUUCCACCUCCACCCAUUCUCUGGGAAUCAUCUUGGAGGGAAAUGUUGUAAUGGACAAUAUAGACAAUAUACCCCAGGCCAAGUGUCUUUUUGGAUCAACCUAUGCACUGCACCUAGGCUACACAAAAUGCAUGGACAAUACCCUUCUUUUUAUUCAACAAGUUUGGGUAAGAAGAUGCUGAAGGGUAAGAUUCUGGCUGUUAAAAAUCAACUUGUCAUGUAAACUGGUACAGAAAAGGCAUGUUCCUUCAGGCUUGCUGUCCUAACUGUGAGAUAAAAAAAUUAAAACUAUGCUUUAGUGUUUGGCAAGUGUAAAUAUUCCAUAAUGUUACAAUGUAAUAACAUCCUGUGGUUGUUUAUUUUUUGGAUAUGUUUGUAAAAAUGUAUUAAAAUAUUUUAAACAAGUGUUUUAAUAAGAUUUAUAACAAUAAAUAUUGACUAAUUGUUAUACAAGGCAUUUUCUAGUUUUGUCACUUGUUUCGGAGUGAUAUUUCUAAAUGAUUUUAAAUAAACUGUAAAGUAAAUUUUUA